rnacentral:lncRNA from 1 species
GAAAGAGAAAGGGUAGGAAAAAGGGGGAAGAGUAUUUAAGGCUUGUAACUAGCAUUUCCUAUUAAUUCUGAAAUUAAGGAACAAGAUUGCCAGGAGGAUAAGAACAAAGUUAAGAUAGAGAUUGCAUUCAAAAAUUAAUUUUAGUUUUGCAUCCAGGAAAAAAAAGCUUUAUUUAACUAGGCUUUCAUUGGCUUACUGCGUCCUGUGUUUAUCAUCAGAGUCAAUACGUCGCAAGGACUGGGAGAGCAAGUUUUCUUAAAAUUAUGCCCAUUAUUUUACUUUGCUUCUGUCCUGGAUGGGACUGCUCUUCCAUGUGGAACAAUAGUGUAGUUUUGCUUCCUUUUAAUCUCUGGAUUCUCCUACAUUGGCUGUUUUAUUGAGCAUAAAAUGUGAUUUGUAUGUGUGUGGUAUGUAUAUUAUUGGGUAUAUAGGUAUUGCAGAAGCUUAGAGAUUCAGAAGUGAUGAAUAACCCUCAAAUAAUGACAGCCUUUUGUAUCAUCAACCAGCUUGAAUUAGGAUGUGAAAGAAAAACCUCUCUUUAGCUGUCGUGUGAAGCAUGAUCCCUGCAUUUGAUUCUUCCUUACUGAUGGUCUAAGUUGAGACUAAUUAUAUCUUUUAAUUUCAGGAAAGUUAUGAAGUCAGUGUAAAUUUUAUGAAAAAAGAGGCCUGGUUCCUCAAGGGCUAUUUGAAAUGAAUAUUGUCAAGCACAGCCAUGGGAAGGUCAGCAUGGGUGAGGACUAUGAGAGCAUCUUGUGGCUGUCCAGGUUGCCAUUGGGCAAAGGUAUCUGGAUUUGCUAGAUCUCCACCUUUGAACGAAACUAUCCUUGGGAUGAGUUUGAACAUGAAGAGUUACAUCCUGGAAAGAGAUAUUAAAAAAAAAAAAAAAAGAGCUUUGAGUUAAAUUAAGGAACUGAAAAGGAACUUAAUGGCUACAACUGAUUUUCAGGGUAUGCUUCCCCUUUCUGGUGGAGCAUAUAGAACACUUUUAGGAAGUGAUUGUAUGAUUAAAAAAAACCAACCCUUGACUUUACAUAUACUGUAAAGGUCCUGUGCUUUAGUUUCUGCCUCAAGAUACCCAAGUUCUAUAAAUGAGCAUCAAAGAGCAUGAAGAAAGUGAGCUUGUGAAUAGGGAAGAAAUUAAGAAAAGUUAAAUGAGAUGGAAAAGAAAAUCCGUGUCUGAAAUGAGAAUAUUUAACGAGAGAGAGAAAGUGAAUAUCUUAUCCGACAGAAAAAAAAAAUAGAUGUUCUGGUUGGG